GAAAAGCGGUUAAGAUUGAUGCCGUUAAGAUCGGUCAAGAGUGGUCCGCAGAAUCAGGGAUAUGGCCGAGAGUGGUCCAUAGAAUAAAUAACGGGCGUGACUAUAAAUAAACAGAAGACGCCUGACAGAGGGGUAUUUUUUCCUUGAGAACAAGAAUAUCAAUUUAUUUCAUGCAUUUUCCGCUUUCUAGAAGUAGUCUACUUGUAAUUUUUUUUCUUCUACUUUUUUUUAUUU
rnacentral:lncRNA from 1 species